CUUACCCUUUUCCUACCUGUAGUAGCAACCAGAUGAAAUAGAAGCUUUACUAUUUUCUUUCUUUUCCGUUUUACUUUUGCAGAUCCCAUUCCAAUUGGUGGUCAUCCUUGCGGCAAUGUGCAAGAGAAUUUUUUAUGAGGACAGUGUAUAAGAGAAUUCGUUCUGUUAGAUGUGAUGCUUUGCUGAGUUAGGGUUUUCGACAAAGUGAACAAAAUUUGAUUCCUCGAAAGCUACCAAGUAGUUAGAUGGCUCAGCUUCGAGCUUUAAAGUAUUUGCUCAUCUCGUCAGUCUAUUGUUGCCUACUGAAACUGUAUGAGGUGCAGUGCGUGCUAUGGUCAUGGGGGCGGAUAAUUGUGCAUGUUGUCAGAAAAUUUUACACACGGCAUAUAGUUUCUGCAUCAUUCAAAUGAAAUGUUAGUCUGGGAGAGCUUCCUGUGCACUGGAGCCUCAGUGCGCUCGAUGAAUCAUGGGGCAAGACCAAGCUGAAUAGGCACACCAGCAAUUUUCACCUCACUCGACCUGUAAUAACUGAGCAAUUAUGGUGGAAAGGACUUCUGAUUGGCAUUUGUGUGGUCUGUCACUCUGCCCUGUAAUAACAAUGAGACUCAAGUUUGUACUCUAGGUGAUAGUACCUUCAGUGGAACGAACUACGGGGAGAAAUACUUGCUGCAACCAUGAUGUGCAACAGUACAAGCUAAAUGCCAGCACUUUAACCAGAUAAGAAGGAAGCUAGCAUCUGUGAAUCACAUGGCAAGUCAUGAUCUGAGUGUGGCCAAUUUUUGCCACCUCGAGAGGUCUGGGAUGUCGAAGAGAAGAGAGAUCAAAAGCUGAUUUGUCAUUUGAGAACACAUUGGUUUGGUCCAGCUCAGAUGUACUUUCAUCUGUUUUUGGUUAUAUCCCAGCCAAUGCCAGCUCUUCAGUUUCCUCGUUGUCUAGUGGCAUCAAACUGCCGUCAAUUUAGAGAUCUCGAGGCCACGUUUAUCUGCGUAUGAAAGUCUAUUCCGAUGAUGGCUCAAGAAACCCACAUUAUGGCGUUCAUGUGUACACAGAGGCAACCAAACUGGCCGGCUCUCUUUCAUUGUGGCCGUUGAAGUAUUGUUGUCAACAGUUGGUCCUAACUUCACUGGUUGGGUAGGUGCUGCUCAAAAGGUUAAUGGAGUACACCCAUAUAACUUUGUACAGAUGCACACCGCACAAUUGGUUACGGAGUGUCAACAGUUGGCAAAGAAGAUUAACAUGCCAAAGCCAAUGACAGCUCCCAUCCUGGACGCUAACAAUCUUGGAUUUUUGUGGAAACAGAAGAUGGUCCUGCUCCCAGCCAUAAUCAGGAUAAAGCCAGUUCAUGCUUUUCUCUGAAGAAAGAAGCUUCCUCUUUUUUCCCCUCAAACAUGGCCAGGCUAAUCCGUGGUUAAUAACUAGUACUACAUGCAGUCAUUAGGAGUGGUUGGUUGAUCGGUGGUUUGGUUUGGCAUUUGUCGAAGACAGGGAGGGAAUCCAAAUCCAGGCUAUGAUCUGCUGGGAUCGAUGCUGUUUCUUCAGGGGCAAGUGAAGUCCGUAAUGAUUUUACCAGCUUCAGAGUCACGCCUAUGCAUGUGAUCCGAUUGGAUGUACGCAAGAUUUGGGGCUAACUGGGCUGAUGAUCUUGUGGUCCAGAUGCACAAGCCAACUAGAUUUAUGGGUUUCCUUGCAAGGAAGGAUGGAUCUGUUUAAUUAGUUGCUUCCAAUCUUGAAUAAGACAGGUAAAACAAAUGAAAAAGAGAUGUUUAGAUCGUCUCCAGAACCGCGGGACCAUAAGAUAUGAUUUCCGCUGGACCAUCAUCUCGUCAUGACACUUAAAUAGUUAACUAUGAAUUGUGAUAGUCUAGAAUCACACGACUUCUCAAUAUUUCAGUAAUGUUAUAUGCCAGAGACAGUAGUUCCGUUGAAAUAGCACAACAAGUUUCCCGUACUUUAAUUCCUUUUGAAAAAUAUAUAUCUGGUGUUCAUGGUUC